UACGGGGGGUGCGAGCGUUGUCCGGAAUCACUGGGCGUAAAGGGCGCGUAGGUGGCGUCGUAAGUUUGUGGUGAAAGCCUGGGGCUCAACCCCAGGUCUGCCGCGAAUACUGCGAGGCUUGAGUACUGUAGAGGCAGGUAGAAUAUCGGGAGUAGCGGUGGAAUGCGUAGAGAUCCGAUAGAAGACCGGUGGCGAAGGCGGCCUGCUGGGCAGUAACUGACACUGAGGCGCGACAGCGUGGGGAGCAAACAGG
rnacentral:rRNA from 1 species